rnacentral:rRNA from 1 species
UGCCAGCAGCCGCGGUAAUACGAAGGGACCUAGCGUAGUUCGGAAUUAUUGGGUUUAAAGGGUCCGCAGGCGGUUUGUUAAGUCAGAGGUGAAAUCCUACCGCUCAACGGUAGAAUUGCCUUUGAUACUGAUAGACUUGAGUUAUUGUGAAGUAGUUAGAAUGUGUAGUGUAGCGGUGAAAUGCAUAGAUAUUACACAGAAUACCAAUUGCGAAGGCAGAUUACCAACAAUACACUGACGCUGAGGGACGAAAGCGUGGGUAGCGAACAGGAUUAGAUA